rnacentral:rRNA from 1 species
GACGAACGCUGGCGGCGUGCCUAAUACAUGCAAGUCGAACGCUUCUUUCCUCCCGAGUGCUUGCACUCAAUUGGAAAGAGGAGUGGCGGACGGGUGAGUAACACGUCGGUAACCUACCCAUCAGAGGGGGAUAACACUUGGAAACAGGUGCUAAUACCGCAUAACAGUUUAUGCCGCAUGGCAUAAGAGUGAAAGGCGCUUUCGGGUGUCGCUGAUGGAUGGACCCGCGGUGCAUUAGCUAGUUGGUGAGGUAACGGCUCACCAAGGCCACGAUGCAUAGCCGACCGGAGAGGGUGAUCGGCCACACUGGGACUGAGACACGGCCCAGACUCCUACGGGAGGCAGCAGUAGGGAAUCUUCGGCAAUGGACGAAAGUCUGACCGAGCAACGCCGCGUGAGUGAAGAAGGUUUUCGGAUCGUAAAACUCUGUUGUUAGAGAAGAACAAGGACGUUAGUAACUGAACGUCCCCUGACGGUAACUAACCAGAAAGCCACGGCUAACUACGUG